UUUUUCCAUUGAUUAAUCUUCCGUUACGCCUUUUUUUCCUCUAACACUCAAUUUAUUAACACCCCCAUUCAGGUUUACCGCUUAUCUUCACUCCACCAGGUACUUAAUAGGGUUCCUCAGGUUUUGGGCGAAAGAAUUAUGUCAAUUCUCCUAAUUUAGUUUAUGACAGAAAAUAAUGCAGGAAAUGUGUGUUGCUCUUUAUGGCUUUGUUAGCACCUAAAGCAAAGGUGCUUAUAAUGGGUUUCAGAUUCGAUGCAGUCCCUCCGAAAGUAUUCCAAAGUAAAGAUCAUUAUAAGACCUUCAACCAGAUUCCUCAAAUGGAUUAUAAGGGUAGGCAUGGACCGCUCGAGUAAGGAUAACCAGCCAGGAUAUGUUGUGGAUGGGUGAUAGUGUGAGUUUUUAUAAUUGGCGAAAUGAUAUAUAUUUUUGUUUGAGUGUUCAGUUUUGGCCUUUUUUGGGAUAUUGUCACACGAGCUGCUUGAGGGAUCUAUUUCUUGUAUGAUGCAGAAUCAAAAGUUACAUACGGUGACAACAAAACUUCUAACAGAGAAAUCUCAAGUUCCACAACAACUAGCUUUCAUUCAUUAUUUUAUCUUUUUUUUUUCUUUUGUAUGUGUGAAUAUAUUUUUGUUAUUGAAAUUGUGGAUCUUUGAAAAUUGAAAGGAUCAUCCGUUGGGCUUUCCCGACUUUUGACUUUCUAAACAAGAUUUUGUGGACUAUGAUAAUCUUACAACCAAAGAUAUAAUGGAGGUCUUAUGGAUUAUGCGUUCCAUUUCAUCAUUAAGAAUAAUGGAAUCGAUACCGAUGAAGAUUACCCGUAUAAGGCCAAGGAAGCAAGUUGGAUGGUGUAGUUAUGAAUUUUUAUGGAGCUUUGUUCAUUUGAAGGUUGGUCAUCAAAGUCAGGUAUUCCGAUUUUAAAUUUCUUGCACUUCUUUUUCCAUUAGACCUUUCGAUUAUUAGAUCUACAAAUUUUAUGAAUCAAAAGUUAAUAUGGCAAAUGAAAUAGUCAGAUCAAGUGAAAGUUGGUGAAUUAGCGAAUUUUUAAACUUUAAAUGGCUUAUUUCUGUGGGUUUUGUUUUCGAGGUAGCUACUGCAAACAUUAAAGUAGUUGGAUAACAACAACAAGGAAACAAUGGUCUUGAUGGUUUUCGUAAAGGCUAUAGGUUUUUAGUUAUAUGAUAAAUGCAGACCAUGUAAAUGUCUGAGUUAGUGAUGGGUCAUUUAGAUGGCAUGGUUCAAAUGGUUAAAAAGUUAAGAUUGUAUUGCGUUGUAUUCUUAACAUCUUUCCUUACUAAUAAAUGUGUAUCUUAACCACUAUUGGUGCAUAUGCAUAUGCAGUUCCAGAUUUCCUUCUUUGGAGCUCCACAUUUUUUUUCUUUGUUUAUUAAUGAAUAUAUAUUGCCCUUUCUUUGACUACAUGCUCAUGAAAUCUUAUGAUUACUUUUAGCUGUAUGGUGUAUUCGUAUGUGGUAAGCAUUUUUGAAUUUUCAUGUUUGGCUAUUCUAAAAGUUCAAUGGUCCAAGUGGGAAAGCUUCAUUUCUUGAGAUAUAGUCAAAGCUAUAACACAAGUUCCAAAAUAGCGGACAUUCACUUGAGCGUAUGUGCAUUACCAUUUUCUUUUUGGUUAAUUGGGAGUAAAUGAAAUGUCAGUUAUGUGGCUCCUUCUUCUGUAGUCCAGGUAGCUAUUGAUUUUUCUUUGGAGUGGCCUAUGUGUUGUCGCUGAAGUUUAGUUUCAAAGACACGGUUAUAGAGAUUUCAAUGCUCUUGCUUAUUUCACUGUAAAAUUUUCUUCAAGUUCAUAAUUUUGCAAUUUAAAUUUGUGCUCAGUACCUGCUCCAUUUUAUGUUCCUUAAAAGCAAUUCUGGAUUUUCUUCAUAAAAAACUCAUAACCAAUUUCAGGCUAUAAUAUUUGUGCGGUUCGCAAACCUGGGCGAAUCUAACGUUAGUGCUGAUUGUGGCUAUUAUUUCCUCUUCAACCGGAUACAUAUGCUUUUAUCGUUAUCAUAGGCUGCACUCUGCAGUGUUGCGCCUUCUGUUACUUCUACGUGUCCUUUUCCGUCUGUUUUCUACUUUAAAUCAUUCUAUAGUGUUGUUGCUAUAUCAGAUUUGGAUUCAUUACAAAGUCUGUACUUUUUCAUAGGUUGUAUCUCAUCAUAUCCAUUUCAUGAGAGAUGAAAUUAAGGAACCUGCGAGUUAUUGAAGAUCUCAGGAUCAAACGUAUAUAAUAAGUAUUAUUUUCAAGGGGAAGUAGCUGAACAAUGGAUUUUUCUUUUGUGCAUUCAAAUUCAGUUUAAGUUCCAGUGUUUGAUGUAUUUUUGGACAAUUUUAUUUGUUUCAAAUUCCAGGUAACUAAGUUCCCGAAGUUCUCAGGAUUUCUGUGGGUUAUGGAAGCUGCAGUCAUUAUGCGUAUCAUUUUUUUCUGUUGGAGGAGUAAGCAGUACUAUUUUUCAAUUGCUUUCCCUUUGUUUUCAAAAUUUAAACUAUGCAGUACCUGACUUGAUAAUAUUACUGUGAAAGAAGCUACAAUUUUAUUAAAGAACUGUGUUUGUUUUUUUUCUUAUUAAGUGAAUUGUACUGAUUUUACUUUUUGGA